GACGAACGCUGGCGGCGUGCUUAACACAUGCAAGUCGAACGAAAAGAGGGAAAGAGCUUGCUCUUUCCGGAAUUGAGUGGCAAACGGGUGAGUAACACGUAAACAACCUGCCUUCAGGAUGGGGACAACAGACGGAAACGACUGCUAAUACCGAAUAAGUUCCAAGGGCCGCAUGGCCCAUGGAAGAAAAGGUGGCCUCUACCUGUAAGCUAUCGCCUGAAGAGGGGUUUGCGUCUGAUUAGCUGGUUGGAGGGGUAACGGCCCACCAAGGCGACGAUCAGUAGCCGGUCUGAGAGGAUGGACGGCCAGCCUGGGACGGAGACACGGUCCAGACUCCUACGGGAGGCAGCAGUGGGGCAUCUUCCGCAAUAGGCGAAAGCCUGACGGAGCAACGCCGCGUGAGUGAUGACGGCCUUCGGGUUGUAAAACUCUGUGAUCCGGGACGAAAAGGCAGAGUGCGAAGAACAAACUGCAUUGACGGUACCGGAAAAGCAAGCCACGGCUAACUACGUG
rnacentral:rRNA from 1 species